UACGGAGGGUGCGAGCGUUGUCCGGAAUCACUGGGCGUAAAGGGCGCGUAGGCGGCCUGCUAAGUUGCGGGUGAAAUCCCGGGGCUUAACUCCGGGGCUGCCAGUAAGACUGGCAGGCUAGAGCACGGUAGAGGCAGAUGGAAUUCCCGGUGUAGCGGUGGAAUGCGUAGAGAUCGGGAAGAACACCAGUGGCGAAGGCGAUCUGCUGGGCCGUUGCUGACGCUGAGGCGCGACAGCGUGGGGAGCAAACAGG
rnacentral:rRNA from 1 species